GAUGAACGCUGGCGGCGUGCCUAAUACAUGCAAGUCGAGCGAACGGACGAGAAUCUUGCUUCUCUGAUGUUAGCGGCGGACGGGUGAGUAACACGUGGAUAACCUACCUAUAAGACUGGGAUAACGUCGGGAAACCGGAGCUAAUACCGGAUAAUAUUUUGAACCGCAUGGUUCAAAAGUGAAAGACGGUCUUGCUGUCACUUAUAGAUGGAUCCGCGCUGCAUUAGCUAGUUGGUAAGGUAACGGCUUACCAAGGCAACGAUGCAUAGCCGACCUGAGAGGGUGAUCAGCCACACUGGAACUGAGACACGGUCCAGACUCCUACGGGAGGCAGCAGUAGGGAAUCUUCCGCAAUGGGCGAAAGCCUGACGGAGCAACGCCGCGUGAGUGAUGAAGGUCUUCGGAUCGUAAAACUCUGUUAUUAGGGAAGAACAUAUGUGUAAGUAACUGUGCCCAUCUUGACGGUACCUAAUCAGAAAGCCCCGGCUAACUACGUG
rnacentral:rRNA from 1 species